UUACACAGGCUUGGUGAAUUCUGGCUUAGUCCUUCACUUGCGUAUUAUGCCUGAAAAGCAUAAUAGGAAGCUAGGUAAAUUCUAAUGAACUUAAUGAUUUUCUAGUAUAACAUACCCGAUCAUGAUAUUAUUAUAUGAUAUAACUUUAAUGGCCUGAUUUCCUAUUUGACAACACUUGCCUGAGGGCAAAUCGCACGUCUUCAUAGAGCAUUCUUGUCAUUCAUUUGCGUUGACACAACUUGCAAAUUGACCCAUUUUACACAUUGACACAGUUUUUCACUUUCAGCGUUCGUGCACUAGUAUAUCUUGUAAGAUGAUUCCUUUUGCACAUCUACAAUGAUUUCAUACAUGAUGAUUCAUAAACACAAAUUCAUAUUUGUUGAAUCAUAGUUACAGAUUCAUACAGGCGGAUUCGUACAUGCAGAUUUAUAGAUACAGAUUCAUACAUGUGAACUAAUUCUUGGCGAACUUAGAUUCGCAGGAAUAUACUUGGUGAAUUUAGACUGGAGAAUUCAUACUCAUCAGUUAGUUUUUGCGGAUUCUUGCUUGAAAGAUUCAUAGAUAAAGAUUCAUAUAUGUUGUAUUCGUGCUUGGUGGGCUAGGAUGCAAGAAGUCAUUCCAUGCAAAUUCAAUCGUGUGGAUUCGAUGAACAGAUAGUCUCGUGGAUUUUUAUAUGAAAGAGUCCAACGUAUAGCCUUAACAUGGAAGCUUAAAGACACAUCCACAUAUCGUCGUAUCUUGAAACAUGAGGAAAAUUCUAGCGGACUAUCAUAACUUGAAGCAUGAGGACAAGUCCAGCGGACUGUCAUUGUAACAACCCAGUUUAGACCCUAGUCAGAAUAGUAGUUUCUGGACCACGAAUAUAAGGUAGAAAAAUAUUCUAAUAUUAUUUUCUGUGUUUACAGUAUGUGUUUAAGCAUGUGUGAAAGUUUCUUGUGAAAAUUUUAUUGAUUGUGUGCUUAAUUUAAAAAAAAAAGACCUAAUCGC
rnacentral:lncRNA from 1 species